GCCUGGUUAGUACUUGGAUGGGAGACCGCCCUUGGGAAUACCAGGU
rnacentral:rRNA from 1 species